UACGGAGGGUGCAAGCGUUGUCCGGAAUCACUGGGCGUAAAGGGCGCGUAGGCGGCUCAUGAAGGCUGUGGUGAAAGUCCGGGGCUCAACCUCGGAUCGGCCGUGGCGACUCGUGGGCUGGAGCACUGUAGAGGCGGGUGGAAUUCCGGGUGGAGUGGUGAAAUGCGUAGAGAUCCGGAGGAACACCAAAGGCGAAGGCAGUGUCCUGGGGAGUACCUGACGCUCAGGUGCGAAAGCCAGGGG
rnacentral:rRNA from 1 species